rnacentral:rRNA from 1 species
GAUGAACGCUAGCGGCAGGCCUAAUACAUGCAAGGCGAAGGGGCAGCAAUGUCACUGUCGUACGGGUGCGUAACGCGUAUGCAACCUACCUAUCACUGGGGGAUAGCCCGGGGAAACCCGGAUUAAUACCGCAUAAAACAGGGGCACCGCAUGGUGAUAUUUGUUAAAGAUUUAUUGGUGAUAGAUGGGCAUGCGUUCGAUUAGCUAGUUGGCGGGGUAACGGCCCACCAAGGCGACGAUCGAUAGGGGAGCUGAGAGGUUGAUCCCCCACACGGGCACUGAGAUACGGGCCCGAGCCCGACGGGAGGGAGCAGUAGGGAAUAUUGGGCAAUGGAUGCAAGUCUGACCCAGCCAUGCCGCGUGCCGGAUGAAGGCCCUCGGGGUUGUAAACGGCUUUUAUUCGGGAAGAAGAGCAGGGAUGCGUCCUUGUGUGACGGUACCGAAUGAAUAAGCACCGGCUAACUCCGUGCCAGCCGCCGCCGUAAAAC